GGGUUGUGAGGUUAAGCGACUAAGCGUACACGGUGGAUGCCCUGGCAGUCAGAGGCGAUGAAGGGCGUGCUAAUCUGCGAUAAGCGCCGGUAAGGUGAUAUGAACCGUUAUAACCGGCGAUACCCGAAUGGGGAAACCCAGUGUGAUUCGUCACACUAUCAUUAACUGAAUCCAUAGGUUAAUGAGGCGAACCGGGGGAACUGAAACAUCUAAGUACCCCGAGGAAAAGAAAUCAACCGAGAUUCCCCCAGUAGCGGCGAGCGAACGGGGAGGAGCCCAGAGCCUGAAUCAGCAUGUGUGUUAGUGGAAGCGUCUGGAAAGGCGCGCGAUACAGGGUGACAGCCCCGUACACAAAAGCGCAUGUGCUGUGAGCUCGAUGAGUAGGGCGGGACACGUGGUAUCCUGUCUGAAUAUGGGGGGACCAUCCUCCAAGGCUAAAUACUCCUGACUGACCGAUAGUGAACCAGUACCGUGAGGGAAAGGCGAAAAGAACCCCGGCGAGGGGAGUGAAAAAGAACCUGAAACCGUGUACGUACAAGCAGUGGGAGCACCCUUCGGGGUGUGACUGCGUACCUUUUGUAUAAUGGGUCAGCGACUUAUAUUCUGUAGCAAGGUUAACCGUAUAGGGGAGCCGGAGGGAAACCGAGUCUUAAUUGGGCGUUAAGUUGCAGGGUAUAGACCCGAAACCCGGUGAUCUAGCCAUGGGCAGGUUGAAGGUUGGGUAACACUAACUGGAGGACCGAACCGACUAAUGUUGAAAAAUUAGCGGAUGACCUGUGGCUGGGGGUGAAAGGCCAAUCAAACCGGGAGAUAGCUGGUUCUCCCCGAAAGCUAUUUAGGUAGCGCCUCGUGAAUUCAUCUCCGGGGGUAGAGCACUGUUUCGGCUAGGGGGCCAUCCCGGCUUACCAACCCGAUGCAAACUGCGAAUACCGGAGAAUGUUAUCACGGGAGACACACGGCGGGUGCUAACGUCCGUCGUGAAGAGGGAAACAACCCAGACCGCCAGCUAAGGUCCCAAAGUCAUGGUUAAGUGGGAAACGAUGUGGGAAGGCCCAGACAGCCAGGAUGUUGGCUUAGAAGCAGCCAUCAUUUAAAGAAAGCGUAAUAGCUCACUGGUCGAGUCGGCCUGCGCGGAAGAUGUAACGGGGCUAAACCAUGCACCGAAGCUGCGGCAGCGAACGUAUCACCCAAGACAACUUUACGGAGUUGACGAUUGACGGAGCGAAGCGACGUCAAAGCGUUCAUUAAAGUCGAGUUGGCUUAGGGAUACGUUCGUUGGGUAGGGGAGCGUUCUGUAAGCCUGUGAAGGUGUGUCGUGAGGCAUGCUGGAGGUAUCAGAAGUGCGAAUGCUGACAUAAGUAACGAUAAAGCGGGUGAAAAGCCCGCUCGCCGGAAGACCAAGGGUUCCUGUCCAACGUUAAUCGGGGCAGGGUGAGUCGACCCCUAAGGCGAGGCCGAAAGGCGUAGUCGAUGGGAAACGGGUUAAUAUUCCCGUACUUGGUGUUACUGCGAAGGGGGGACGGAGAAGGCUAUGUUGGCCGGGCGACGGUUGUCCCGGUUUAAGCGUGUAGGUGUGUGUUCCAGGUAAAUCCGGUUCACUUUAACACUGAGGCGUGACGACGAGGCACUACGGUGCUGAAGCAACAA
rnacentral:rRNA from 1 species